rnacentral:rRNA from 1 species
CCUACGGGUGGCAGCAGUGGGGAAUAUUGCACAAUGGGGGAAACCCUGAUGCAGCAACGCCGCGUGAAGGAAGACGGUUUUCGGAUUGUAAACUUCUGUUAUUAGUGAAGAAACAAGACGGUAGCCCAGAAGAAAACCACGGCUCACUACGUGCCAGCAGCCUCGGUAAUACGUAGGUGGCAAGCGUUGUCCGGAAUUACGGGGUGUAAAGGGAGCGCAGGCGGGAAGACAAGUCAGCUGUGAAAACUGCGGGCUUAACUUGUGGACUGCAGUUGAAACUGGUUGUCUUGAGUGAAGGAGAGGUUGGCGGAAUUCCGAGUGUAGCGGUGAAAUGCGUAGAUAUUCGGAGGAACACCAGUGGCGAAGGCGGCCAACUGGACUUUAACUGACGCUGAGGCUCGAAAGUGUGGGGAGCAAACAGGAUUAGAUACCCUUGUAGUC